rnacentral:rRNA from 1 species
ACGCUGGCGGCAGGCCUAACACAUGCAAGUCGAGCGGAAACGACAACAUUGAAUCUUCGGAGGAUUUGUUGGGCGUCGAGCGGCGGACGGGUGAGUAAUGCCUAGGAAAUUGCCUUGAUGUGGGGGAUAACCAUUGGAAACGAUGGCUAAUACCGCAUAAUGCCUACGGGCCAAAGAGGGGGAYCUUCGGRCCUCUCGCGUCAAGAUAUGCCUAGGUGGGAUUAGCUAGUUGGUGAGGUAAUGGCUCACCAAGGCGACGAUCCCUAGCUGGUCUGAGAGGAUGAUCAGCCACACUGGAACUGAGACACGGUCCAGACUCCUACGGGAGGCAGCAGUGGGGAAUAUUGCACAAUGGGCGAAAGCCUGAUGCAGCCAUGCCGCGUGUAUGAAGAAGGCCUUCGGGUUGUAAAGUACUUUCAGUUGUGAGGAAGGGUGUGUAGUUAAUAGCUGCRCAUCUUGACGUUAGCAACAGAAGAAGCACCGGCUAACUCCGUGCCAGCAGCCGCGGUAAUACGGAGGGUGCGAGCGUUAAUCGGAAUUACUGGGCGUAAAGCGCAUGCAGGUGGUUCAUUAAGUCAGAUGUGAAAGCCCGGGGCUCAACCUCGGAACUGCAUUUGAAACUGGUGAACUAGAGUGCUGUAGAGGGGGGUAGAAUUUCAGGUGUAGCGGUGAAAUGCGUAGAGAUCUGAAGGAAUACCAGUGGCGAAGGCGGCCCCCUGGACA